AUUGAACGCUGGCGGCAGGCCUAACACAUGCAGGUCGAGCGGAGGAAGGGAGCUUGCUCCUGGAUUCAGCGGCGGACGGGUGAGUAAUGCCUAGGAAUCUGCCUGGUAGUGGGGGAUAACGUCCGGAAACGGGCGCUAAUACCGCAUACGUCCUGAGGGAGAAAGUGGGGGAUCUUCGGACCUCACGCUAUCAGAUGAGCCUAGGUCGGAUUAGCUAGUUGGUGGGGUAAAGGCCUACCAAGGCGACGAUCCGUAACUGGUCUGAGAGGAUGAUCAGUCACACUGGAACUGAGACACGGUCCAGACUCCUACGGGAGGCAGCAGUGGGGAAUAUUGGACAAUGGGCGAAAGCCUGAUCCAGCCAUGCCGCGUGUGUGAAGAAGGUCUUCGGAUUGUAAAGCACUUUAAGUUGGGAGGAAGGGCAGAAAGUUAAUACCUUGCUGUUUUGACGUUACCAACAGAAUAAGCACCGGCUAACUUCGUG
rnacentral:rRNA from 1 species